AUCUAGCUGACGAGUCUCAAAUGAGACGAAACACGUAUCUUGAAU
rfam:Schistosoma haematobium scaffold331_21, whole genome shotgun sequence.